UACGUAGGGGGCAAGCGUUGUCCGGAAUCAUUGGGCGUAAAGAGCGUGUAGGCGGCCAGGUAGGUCUGCUGUGAAAACUCGAGGCUCAACCUCGAGACGUCGGCGGAAACCAUCUGGCUAGAGUCCGGAAGAGGAGAGUGGAAUUCCUGGUGUAGCGGUGAAAUGCGCAGAUAUCAGGAAGAACACCCGUGGCUAAGGCGGCUCUCUAGUACGGUACUGACGCUGAGACGCGAAAGCGUGGGGAGCGAACGGG
rnacentral:rRNA from 1 species